rfam:Microgenomates (Daviesbacteria) bacterium GW2011_GWB1_41_5 TT67_C0039, whole genome shotgun sequence.
AAUACUCAACAAUAAUGCAUACGGUGGAUGCCUUGGUCGAAAGUACCGAUGAAGGACGUAUUAGGCUGCGAUAAGCUUCGGGGAGCUGCCAAAAAGCUUUGAUCCGGAGAUUUCCGAAUGGAGCAAUCCAUCCUUUAUGGAUACUCUAACGUGAAUUCAUAGCGUUAGAGGGGGUACGCGCUGAACUGAAACAUCUAAGUAGGCGCAGGAAGAGAAAAUAACAAUGAUUCCCCCAGUAGCGGCGAGCGAAAAGGGAAGAGCCCAAACCUUUCGAUUCGAUUUUGCUCCGCAAAAUCUCACUCAAGGCUAUAGCCUGUGAGAUUAAAAGGGUCAUUGACCCUGAGCGAGGCGAAGCCGAGUCGAAUGGGGUUGCGAGGCCACAGUAGUGAGUAGUGAGAAUAGGAGAAGACUCUGGAAAGAGUAGCCAAAGAAGGUGAUAGCCCUGUAAACGAAAUUCAAACUACCAUGGUGGGUUCCUCAAGUAGCCCGGGACACGUGUAAUCCCGGGUGAAUCUGCGACGACCACGUCGUAAGGCUAAAUAUGCUUUCGGACCGAUAGUGAACUAGUACCGUGAGGGAAAGG